GAGUUUGAUCGUGGCUCAGAUUGAACGCUGGCGGCAUGCCUUACACAUGCAAGUCGAACGGCAGCACGGGAGCUUGCUCCUGGUGGCGAGUGGCGAACGGGUGAGUAAUGCAUCGGAACGUAUCCUGGAGUGGGGGAUAACGUAGCGAAAGUUACGCUAAUACCGCAUAUUCUGUGAGCAGGAAAGCGGGGGACCUUCGGGCCUCGCGCUCUUGGAGCGGCCGAUGUCGGAUUAGCUAGUUGGUGAGGUAAAGGCUCACCAAGGCGACGAUCCGUAGCAGGUCUGAGAGGAUGAUCUGCCACACUGGAACUGAGACACGGUCCAGACUCCUACGGGAGGCAGCAGUGGGGAAUUUUGGACAAUGGGGGCAACCCUGAUCCAGCCAUGCCGCGUGAGUGAAGAAGGCCUUCGGUGUAA
rnacentral:rRNA from 1 species